GCGUUCUUUUGGGCGCCAUCAGCGGUGCAGCCAGUGAUCACUCCCAGGCUCUGAGAAACUAGAGAUGUCAGCCACAAACCCUCCGUUCAGGGAAAGUUUGCGGCGCCGUGACGGAUCGACUGGCACUGGGUGCAACAUUGUCUUGUGGCCUAGAGACUAGAAUAUAAAAACAAAAACCAAAUACAAAACUGCUGCUGGCAUUACUCCUACUCUCCCCCCUCAAGUCAGUGGCUUCAGGCUUAAGAAAACCUGUAUUUUUCUUGGCUGUGCCAUAAUCCGUAAUUACCGAGGCCCCCAGCGACCCACCCAGUGUGAUUCGCAGAGGGAAAGGAGCUGGAAUAAGGACCGUGAAUGGGGCGGAUGUGGCUCGUCCUGGGAGAGAGCUAAAGCUUAUGCUGGUCGCAAACAGCAUUACAUUGCAGGAAACUGCUCUUCCAAUGGCCGUGGCUGGGUCCUUCCACACCAUCCCUCUGCCCUAGACCUUUGUCCCCGUUCAGAGCCAUCAGAGAUUCUAGGAGAGCUGUCGACAACCGCAUCUCUUCGGAACUUGGAAACUCUAGGUUCAAGAUCUCCGUGGAGAAUGAAAGGCACAGUCGCCUGACCCGGGCAUCAGGCUUGCCCCGCACAUCAAGUCCCUCCCCUACUGGAUGGAACUCUGUGGCAAUCGCUCCUUAUUCUGAUGGUUCACUCUGUCAGAUAUCCUCGAUAUUUGGGGAUAGUAGUUCAAAAACAGCCGGGGAGGAAAAUGGGCUGAAAGAUUCCAGCGUUGGAUGUAGAAUUGACAGCGAGACAUACACCUCCUCUCUAAGCCCAGAGAAAAGCUCAAGUUGUGGUUCUCUGUCUCUAGCAGCAUGAUCUUCAAAAUGCAUCAUUGAUUUCUAUCUUCUGGGAAAUGCAAUGCAGGUGAACUUGUAAGUGCUCAAAUCCUCCAUCUCCUCACUUUUCAGACUGAGGCCUUUUUUUUUUUAAAUCUGAGAAGAAAUAUGGGACUGCCACUGCUCAGUAGGAAAAUGUCCUUUCCCACAAGCAUUUAUAUUUUAAUAAAAAUCUGCACUUUGUGAGUUGAGCCCCCUCAAAGAGACCUACAAACCCUGCCACAAAUAUCUCCAACCACACUCAUCAUUUCCGAUUUUCAUCACUGCUGCUCCUGUGCAAACCAAACUAUCCUUUCCCUGGGGCAUCCUAGGUAGAGGCCAUGCCAGGACAAAGGCAGAGAUAUGCCUGCCUGGUAAGGAAAUCCAUUUUGGCCUUGUAAUUCUCACCCUCUCCCAAGAUGUUUGCCUCAAUAUCUCCUUCCCACCUUACCCCGUCUUCAGCUAGCCAAAACAUUCCCUGGUAUUUGAGGCCCUUCCAAUUUCCUCCUGGUUUUGUGGGUGGGAGAAUAAAGAAAAAACUGCACUGUUCCCACCCACAUAGUUACAGCCACUUUAUCAAACGGAAGAGCAGUCUGGAGCCAUUGCAAAACAAAAUACCUGCCACAACUCCUCUCUUCUCAUUUCGACUCCAGCUUUUCAUCUUAGCAAAAAAGUUGCAAUCAGCACCCCCUAGACGGAAGGAAUAUCCUGUCUUAAUGGGAGUCCAUAGGAGGCUGCAGGCUGCUCCCCUACAGAGACUAACAUCAAGGUAGUUGCAGAAUUCAGAUUCUAAUUACAGUGUGGUUGGAGGCGGGGUGGAUUCCAGGGAGGUCAGGAAGAGGUAAAGUACAGAAUUGAGCUCCUUGGGAGGAGGUCAUAGGAACUUUGCAGUAUGAAAAUGGCUAGAGAUUGGGUAGAAUUGAGCAGGCUGGCAAUGGCAGUUUUGUGUGGGUGGUAGGACCUAGGAUUCAAACUUGAGGGCAAAUUGUGGAGCACAUACGACAAAUGAUGUAGAGCCUUUCCUAUUUCCCUUCCUGCUGUGUCAUCCGAAACAAUAAAUAAUAAAGAAUUAACAAAGACUGAUAUUUUUGUUCAAUUUCAUGAAGAAAAAUCUCAUCAAACUAAGAUAACUAUAA
rnacentral:lncRNA from 1 species